AGCCUGCUUCUCCCUCUGCCUGCGUUUCUGCCUCUCUCUCUCUCCUCUCUGUGCACUCUCAUAAAUAAAUAAAGAAUCUUAAAAAAAAAAAAAAAAAAAAAAAAAUCUUAAAAAAAAGGGAAAAACUGCUGAAUGCUGAAAACCAGGACUUUUGUUCAGCAUCUACAUUUGAUGGAUGCUUUGAUUUCCAGUUUAUGUUUGUGAAAAGUGGAUCUGUAUAAUUUAAUUUUGCUGUAAAACAAAAUCACUAGUAUUAUGCAAUAAAUCUUUCCUUGAGGAAAAGCAAACUUGCAUAUUUAAGAGGUGUCUCUCACAAGAGUGAAAGGUAGAAGUGAAAUUUCACAUGGAGCUUCCAUAAGCUCAGUUUUCUGAAACUGUUUCAUGUAACUUUAUAUUUCUUUCAUGUUGUUGGCAGAUAGGGCUUUAGUGGCCCCUUGAAGGUUGCAUUCAGCAAAUCUCCCACCUUCAGUCUGGGAUUUAUAGCAGCCCUUUGGUACGAUUGGGUAUUUGGUUGGAAGUAUUUGUGUAAAACCCCCUCUUCCUGGACAGGUCUGGAUUUAAGAACCAUUUGCAUCUGUGGGAGAGCCCUUAUGAUCAGGUUACAGAUUCAGCAUAUGUCAAAAUGAACAUGAGACCCUCCUGAACUCAUUCUAUUUUCAGAGAAGAAAACUAUACCCAAUUGUGUACUGGUGGAACCGGAAAAAUGCAUAAGUGGCAGAAGUCAAAGAAGCGACAGAUCUCUAAGCAUUAGAGAUUCACCUACUGGAACUGAAGAACAUGUUUUUUGGGGGGCCUUGCACUCCAAUGUGCUCUUGCAUGCAAAGUAUUGGGCUUUAAACAUUCAGGGGGGCUCUGCUUUACCUGUCUGAAUUAGACACAUAUGGCCCAGACAGAUAUGAUGGAUAUGCCAUUAUAAAAAUAUGCUUACUUGCAUAUUUGCCUCAAGAUCACUUUCUGAGAGCUACAUUACGUUUAUUCCUUGCCACAAUUCUAAGAAGAUCGUCUCCCCACUUUACAGACGAAAAGACUUAGGCUAAAUGAGGCUAAACCACAUUUCCUUAAGGUCACAUACAGAGUGGCAGAGCUGGGACAGAAAACAAGGUUUUUCUGGGGCCAAAGUGUAAGCUGGUGGCAUUAUACCAACCUCUUCUCUUAAAAAAAGAGAGGGAGCUAUAGAUUAUAAGCUUUGGAAAGAAACAUCGAAAACUUUUCAUUUUCCUAGAAUCCAAAGCCAGAAAGUUCAAGUUACCAGAAUGCCUUUGUGAGGGCCAGAUAACAAGUGAAAAACUACAUCAGGGAUCUAUUAAAAAUAAAAGUCCAGUGAGUUUAGGAGUCCAGUUGAAUUUAGUCCCAUGAAUGUAGUAGUUUGGCCACAUAUUUAAUCAAUUGGCUGUUUAUUUGCUGUCUAAUAGGCUGGUGGUUGAUGAUUUGAGACAUAGCAUCCUGUAUCAUUGCAGAAAGGUUGAAUAUGCAAAAGGAAUUUUUAGUAUUAAAUAUUUAUUUAUUUAUGCAUGUAUUUAUUUAUAUUUAUUUGUUUAUAUGAAUGAGAGAGAGAGACAGAGACAGACAGAGAGAGGGAGAGCAGGGAGAGGGACAGAGGUGAGGGAGAGAGAAUCCCAAACAGACUCCCCAUGAGGGAUGAUCUCAUUACUCAGAGAUCAGGACCUGAGCCAAGAAGCAGAUGCUCAACUGAUGGAGCCACCUAGGGGCCCCAGUAUUAAGUGUAUUUCAAGUGCUAAAAAAUGUCAUAUCCAGAUAUUACCGUUACACAGAAGAUAUCCCCCAUAGCUCAGCUAACUCAGAAGCAGAAG